rnacentral:tRNA from 1 species
CAAAGAAUAGUUUAAUUUAAAAUAUUAAUUUUGGAGAUUAAAGAUAUUAAGGUUUAAUUUCUUUGA